rnacentral:rRNA from 1 species
UGGGGAAUAUUGCACAAUGGGCGCAAGCCUGAUGCAGCCAUGCCGCGUGUGUGAAGAAGGCCUUCGGGUUGUAAAGCACUUUCAGCGAGGAGGAAGGUGGUGAGCUUAAUACGCUCAUCAAUUGACGUUACUCGCAGAAGAAGCACCGGCUAACUCCGUGCCAGCAGCCGCGGUAAUACGGAGGGUGCAAGCGUUAAUCGGAAUUACUGGGCGUAAAGCGCACGCAGGCGGUUUGUUAAGUCAGAUGUGAAAUCCCCGGGCUCAACCUGGGAACUGCAUUUGAAACUGGCAAGCUAGAGUCUCGUAGAGGGGGGUAGAAUUCCAGGUGUAGCGGUGAAAUGCGUAGAGAUCUGGAGGAAUACCGGUGGCGAAGGCGGCCCCCUGGACGAAGACUGACGCUCAGGUGCGAAAGCGUGGGGCAGCAAACAGGAUUAGAUACCCUGGUAGUCCAGCGCUGUAAACGAUGUCGAUUUGGAGGUUGUGCCCUUGAGGCGUGGCUUCCGGAGCUAACGCGUUAAAUCGACCGCCUGGGGAGUACGGCCGCAAGGUUAAAACUCAAAUGAAUUGACGGGGUCAUAGCUG